GCUGUUUGGAGACAGUUUAGCAUUUAAGCUUGGUUAAAAGAUUAAUGGUAGUGUUGUGCCCUUACCUCUGGUCCCCUACCUUCCUUCUUUUUUUGCCCCCAGCCUCUUCAUUAUAUAGAUUUUUUCUGUCUGUUUUUUUGGGUAAUAUACAGUAUUAAAGAUUAGCCUUGAUAUGGGUUUUCCUUAUACGUUGUUAAGCCCUUGUUCGGUUUGCGCUGUGACCUUUAUUCACAUCACGAUUAUGCUAUAUGGUUGCCGUAUACAUUUUCUUUUUGAAAACCGUAUGUGACCGUAUACAUUGAUAUACCAUUAAAAAAACGUACACAACUAGAUGUGCGAUUUUUGUACAUUUAUUUGGUUAACCACAUUUUUGUGCAGUUCUGUACGGUUUUUGAAAGUUUACUCUGCAGCCGCCCGGGACUCCUACAGUGCUGUGGUACUACUCCCAUCAUGGAACAGACUAGUUUCCAUAAUGCGAGAAGUAGUUUCCCAGGUUAUGGGAGUCUGCGGGUGGCUCUUGGUGGGGUAUUUGAAAUAAUACAGUAAUAUUCAUUGAUUUUACAGAGCGCCGGCCAGCCGGCAAAUGUAGCACAAUGCCACCAGCUUCCCCCGCAGGAGCGGUCUCCUCUACUACUGUUCCCAUCAUGGAACAAUGUCAGCUAGCCACCUCCCUGUAAAAUUAUUGAACAUCACUGUAUAAUUUCAAAUACCACGCCUAGCUCUGUGAAUGGCCAGUUGGUGCCAGCCAUUCUGGCACCAAUCUAGGGAAGCUGGAGGCACGGGCACAGACAUGAAGUUUAACGUGGAUAAAUGUAAGGUUAUUAAUUUGGACCGUAAAAACUAAAAUGUACAAUUAUGUGCUGAAUAAUAAGACACUAGGUCAAACUUCUACUGAAAAAGACUUGGGUGUACUGGUGAACAGUAAACUCAACUUUAGCAAUCAGUGCCAGGCAGCGGCUGCCAAGGCUAACAAAGUCAUGUGAUGUCUCAAGAGACAGGACAGGAACAUAGUUUUUCCACUGUAUAAAUCACUAGUCAGACCACAUAUGGAGUAUUGUGGGCAAUUCUGGUCAUGGGGAAACAACUGGAGGCAUACUGUAUAGGUGAACACCGUAUCUGUGAUGGCCGCAAAUCCCGCUCCCCGCCACGCAGUCAUUUCUAGGGGGCCUCUGAGGCAGUGGCAUUGCAGCAGUCCCAACCUGAGUUUGACAAUUUACAAAUCUCAAGUUUUCAAAAAUGCAGAGAACUGCCUACAGAUCAGACAGCAUCCAGCAUGGUUUAUAAGUUAUGAUCACAUCUGGUCUCAGAAGAGAGACCUGAUGCAAUCGGGUCCUUGGCCCAUGUACUACUACCCCAACAUGGAACAGACUGUUUUAUGACGGGAGUAAUAGGACAAGCGCUACUGUAGUCACCAAAGCCGCCCGCAGACUCCCGCAGCUGGGGAAACUACUUCCCAGCUGUGGGAGUUCAUGAGCAGCUGUCAAAUGGCUUUUUUACCAAUAUAAAAACUAUAUAAGUUUUUAGAUUUGCACAAUUUUCCACACGGUUUUAUCAGUUGUUUGUUCCCGUUUUGGGGAAAGAAAAGUGAUACAAAACCGUAUUGCAAAAUCAUGAUGUGACUGUAGCCUUAUAAUGGGCCAUGUAAAUAAUGCUAAUGAUUGUUACAUUUAUUUCUAUAUUAAUAAAAUUUACUUGAACCAUACAUUAUAGGAGGAAUAACAGAACAGCACAACAGCCAUGUAAAUCCCUUACAAAGGAGGAAAGAUGGCCGACAUGACAGAUGAAGUCUUGGAGAAAGACGGAAGAACUCCUGUAGCCUAGUUCCAGGGCUUUCAAGAUCCAGGGAUUUGAAGAGACCAUAAGUUAUGGAAAAAUGAAAGGUGUCAUUACAAAGUAUACUUGGUCCCAUGACAAACAAGCCUCAUAUGGGUCUCUAGAUGGAAAAAUAAGAGUUAUGGCUAUUAUAGGGCGAAGA